rnacentral:rRNA from 1 species
GACGAACGCUGGCGGCGUGCUUAACACAUGCAAGUCGAACGGAAAGGCCCUGCUUUUGUGGGGUGCUCGAGUGGCGAACGGGUGAGUAACACGUGAGUAACCUGCCCUUGACUUUGGGAUAACUUCAGGAAACUGGGGCUAAUACCGGAUAGGAGCUCCUGCUGCAUGGUGGGGGUUGGAACGUUUCGGCGGUUGGGGAUGGACUCGCGGCUUAUCAGCUUGUUGGUGGGGUAGUGGCUUACCAGGGCUUUGACGGGUAGCCGGCCUGAGAGGGUGACCGGCCACAUUGGGACUGAGAUACGGCCCAGACUCCUACGGGAGGCAGCAGUGGGGAAUAUUGCACAAUGGGCGGAAGCCUGAUGCAGCAACGCCGCGUGCGGGAUGACGGCCUUCGGGUUGUAAACCGCUUUCGCCUGUGACGAAGCGUGAGUGACGGUAAUGGGUAAAGAAGCACCGGCUAACUACGUG